CAUGCAGUCGACGGCAGCAUGAUCUAGCUUGCUAGAUUGAUGGCGAGUGGCGAACGGGUGAGUAAUACAUCGGAACGUGCCCUGUAGUGGGGGAUAACUAGUCGAAAGAUUAGCUAAUACCGCAUACGACCUGAGGGUGAAAGUGGGGGACCGCAAGGCCUCAUGCUAUAGGAGCGGCCGAUGUCUGAUUAGCUAGUUGGUGAGGUAAAGGCUCACCAAGGCGACGAUCAGUAGCUGGUCUGAGAGGACGAUCAGCCAUACUGGGACUGAGACACGGCCCAGACUCCUACGGGAGGCAGCAGUGGGGAAUUUUGGACAAUGGGCGAAAGCCUGAUCCAGCAAUGCCGCGUGUGUGAAGAAGGCCUUCGGGUUGUAAAGCACUUUUGUCCGGAAAGAAAUGGCUCUGGUUAAUACCUGGGGUCGAUGACGGUACCGGAAGAAUAAGGACCGGCUAACUACGUGCCAGCAGCCGCGGUAAUACGUAGGGUCCAAGCGUUAAUCGGAAUUACUGGGCGUAAGCGUGCGCGGCGGUUGUGCAAGACGAUGUGAAUCCCCGAG
rnacentral:rRNA from 1 species